rnacentral:rRNA from 1 species
AUGCACGCUUGCGGCGUGCCUAAUACCUGCAAGUCGAGCGAACAGACGAGGAGCUUGCUCCUCUGACGUUAGCGGCGGACGGGUGAGUAACACGUGGAUAACCUACCUAUAAGACUGGGAUAACUUCGGGAAACCGGAGCUAAUACCGGAUAAUAUAUUGAACCGCAUGGUUCAAUAGUGAAAGACGGUUUUGCUGUCACUUAUAGAUGGAUCCGCGCCGCAUUAGCUAGUUGGUAAGGUAACGGCUUACCAAGGCAACGAUGCGUAGCCGACCUGAGAGGGUGAUCGGCCACACUGGAACUGAGACACGGUCCAGACUCCUACGGGAGGCAGCAGUAGGGAAUCUUCCGCAAUGGGCGAAAGCCUGACGGAGCAACGCCGCGUGAGUGAUGAAGGUCUUCGGAUCGUAAAACUCUGUUAUUAGGGAAGAACAAAUGUGUAAGUAACUAUGCACGUCUUGACGGUACCUAAUCAGAAAGCCACGGCUAACUACGUG